rnacentral:rRNA from 1 species
GACGAACCGUCCAAACGUUGUUCGGAAUCACUGGGCUUAAAGGGCGCGUAGGCGGAUGCUCAAGUCGGUGGUGAAAUCUUUCGGCUCAACCGGAAAAGUGCCGCCGAUACUGGGGAUCUCGAGGGAGGUAGGGGUCGAGGGAACUUCCGGUGGAGCGGUGAAAUGCGUAGAUAUCGGAAGGAACGCCGGUGGCGAAAGCGCUCGACUGGACCUCUUCUGACGCUGAGGCGCGAAAGCCAGGGGAGCAAACGGG